AUUGAACGCUGGCGGCAGGCCUAACACAUGCAAGUCGAACGGUAGCACAGAGAGCUUGCUCUCGGGCGACGAGUGGCGGACGGGUGAGUAAUGUCUGGGAAACUGCCCGAUGGAGGGGGAUAACUACUGGAAACGGUAGCUAAUACCGCAUAACGUCGCAAGACCAAAGUGGGGGACCUUCGGGCCUCACACCAGCGGAUGUGCCCAGAUGGGAUUAGCUAGUAGUGGGGGUAAUGGCUCACCUAGGCGACGAUACCUAGCUGGUCUGAGAGGAUGACCAGCCAAACUGGAACUGAGACACGGUCCAGACUCCUACGGGAGGCAGCAGUGGGGAAUAUUGCACAAUGGGCGCAAGCCUGAUGCAGCCAUGCCGCGUGUAUGAAGAAGGCCUUCGGGUUGUAAAGUACUUUCAGCGGGGAGGAAGGCGGUGAAGUUAAUAACUUCACCGAUUGACGUUACCCGCAGAAGAAGCACCGGCUAACUCCGUGCCAGCCGCCGCCGUAA
rnacentral:rRNA from 1 species